GACGUAGGGCGCGAGCGUUGUCCGGAUUUAUUGGGCGUAAAGAGCUCGUAGGCGGCUUGUUGCGUCAGCUGUGAAAACCCGGGGCUCAACUCCGGGCUUGCGGGCGAUACGGGCAGGCUAGAGUUCGGUAGGGGAGACUGGAAUUCCUGGUGUAGCGGUGAAAUGCGCAGAUAUCAGGAGGAACACCGGUGGCGAAGGCGGGUCUCUGGGCCGAUACUGACGCUGAGGAGCGAAAGCGUGGGGAGCGAACAGG
rnacentral:rRNA from 1 species